rnacentral:rRNA from 1 species
GUUGUAUAGUUAAGUGACUAAGCGUACAAGGUGGAUGCCUUGGCAAUCAGAGGCGAAGAAGGACGUGCUAAUCUGCGAAAAGCUUGGAUGAGUCGAUAAGAGGCGUUUAAUCCAAGAUAUCCGAAUGGGGAAACCCAGUAGAUGAAGAAUCUACUAUCAACAAGUGAAUUCAUAGCUUGUUGAGGCAAACCGGGAGAACUGAAACAUCUAAGUACCCCGAGGAAAAGAAAUCAACCGAGAUUUCGUCAGUAGCGGCGAGCGAAAGCGAAAGAGCCAGUAAGUGAUAGCAGUAUAGUGAGGAGAAUGUGUUGGGAAGCACAAUCAAAGAGGGUGAUAAUCCCGUAUCUAAAAACCAUAUUGUGGUACUAAGCUAACGAGAAGUAGGGCGGGACACGUGAUAUCCUGUUUGAAGAAGGGGGGACCAUCCUCCAAGGCUAAAUACUCCUGAUUGACCGAUAGUGAACCAGUACUGUGAAGGAAAGGCGAAAAGAACCCCGGUGAGGGGAGUGAAAUAGAACCUGAAACCUUGUACGUACAAGCAGUGGGAGCCCCAUCACUUAAUCCGAUUGGAAGGUGAUGAAAAGCAACCGCACUUAAACAAUGGUAAGAGGAGCGAAGCGAGUCAAACCACCCAAAAGAAGCAGUGGGAUUAAGUGAUGGGGUGACUGCGUACCUUUUGUAUAAUGGGUCAGCGACUUAUAUUUUGUAGCGAGGUUAAC